ACGAACGCUGGCGGCAGGCCUAACACAUGCAAGUCGAGCGCGCCCUUCGGGGCGAGCGGCGGACGGGUGAGUAACGCGUGGGAACUCGCCCCUCGGUACGGAAUAACCUCGGGAAACUGGGGCUAAUACCGUAUACGUCCUAUGGGAGAAAGAUUUAUCGCCGAGGGUGAGGCCCGCGUCCGAUUAGGUAGUUGGCGGGGUAACGGCCCACCAAGCCGACGAUCGGUAGCUGGUCUGAGAGGACGAUCAGCCACACUGGGACUGAGACACGGCCCAGACUCCUACGGGAGGCAGCAGUGGGGAAUCUUGGACAAUGGGCGAAAGCCUGAUCCAGCCAUGCCGCGUGGGUGAUGAAGGCCUUAGGGUUGUAAAGCCCUUUCGGCGGGGACGAUUGUGACGGUACCCGCAGAAGAAGCCCCGGCUAACUCCGU
rnacentral:rRNA from 1 species